AGAAAGUAAGUGAAAUUCUGAAGGGGAAAUGAAAUGUUGGGAUUUAAGAAGGUUAGGUGUUUUGAUGGGAUUGAUGAAAAUUAUUGGAGUUUUGAGAUAAUGGGUGGUGGAAAAGAGAGUAUGAUAUUAAAAAUGGAGAAGUAGGUGUUGGAGCAAUGAAUCAAAAUGAUUUCUUUGUUGGGAAUGAGGUUUCUCAUAGUUUUGUAGUGGAUUCAUGUCUUCUUCAUGUGAAUGAUCAGAACAAAUGGGACUUUGAUUUUAAUGACGGGAAAGAGGAAAGUGGUUGGAUUUUGAUAAUAAUGUGCCAGUGUGUCGACCUUUGACAUGAAAGAUGGUGGAAUGGAAAUAAUCUAUCAAAGGUAUACACAACAACAACCUAUGAACAUUGAGCGGAGAAUGGAAAUUAUUGACAUUACGUCAAUGAGAGGAUGAUGAUGUGGAAAUAAUGUCUUAUAAAAAAGAUGAUAUCGGAAAGGGUAAGCAAAUUGAGGUUAGGAUGUUACGUAAUAGUACAAAAUAUUUGAACGUUGCUGUGGCAUACUCUUCUUACAAUGUAGGAUUAGGUGUAUCUGUUCAAUAUUCGUGCUAGAUGCAUUUCGAAAGUACUUGAGGU
rnacentral:lncRNA from 1 species